CCAGUGGAGUAGAUUUCAGUAUGAUACAAAAACUCAUAGUGACUGAAUCGUCUUUUGUAACGUAUUUUCAACGAGAGUUCAGCCGAGAGAACAGCUCAUCGGCGUUAUUUCUGGAAACCGUUAUCAAGUUACUAAAUCAACAACGUAAGACAAGCGAGCAGACAGCUAGUACUACACUAUUUAGGUCUGGGUUAAUCAAGUGGCUUCGCUGUCUGCUCUGGCUGUCAGAGUCUGCCUCGUUUUUUGUGGGUGUCAGGACGCUUCCUUCAGUGCCUCUUCAAUUCCAAUCAGCGUCGAAAACGAUGGCCGAAAGCUUCUGAAACUAUAUUCAGUGGAAAGAAUGGCCGACGAACACUUCUGAAACGAUAUUCGGUGGAAAGAAAAAUCAUGCGAGAUUCUCAAAUGUGAAAACAAAGGAAACGAUGCCGUGAUCGAUGGUGUGAUAAUGACCUCUAUCCCAUGAAGGGUUGGAUGGUGAAUGCCUUCUUGACUCUAGGUCAUGUUACGUUUGUGUUGCUUGAGGAGCUUCGUCCAACCUCCAUUCUGGCAGCGACUUUACCUGAGGAGAAAAAGACUCCGCCUAACCUCUGUGGCGAAGGGACUGGCGUGUGUGCUGACAUCGGGGAGCGAUGCGUUCUAGUGAUCUUGAGCACCGACGGCUGCCCUGGAAGUAAACAAUGUUGCCGGAUGAUCAGUUAUGGAUUGUCCUCUCACCCAGCAAGAAAAACAGUUCAAGGCAAAUCGAGUCUAUGGCGAAGAACGCGAUUUCCCAGACGAGUCAAGAAGAACAAAGAGAGGAAGAAGAACCUACUGAAAGAAGAGAAGAGAAGACAGAAAUCAAUCGAUAAAAAUAAAGCCAAAAACAACAAAAACGGAAGCAGGAACAAAAACAAAAACAAGAAUGGUCUCGGCAGUCCGGCUCUCAAUGGCAUUUCGGCUAACAAGCGAAAAAACACCAAUAAGGAGAAUAAGAGAAAGGAAAAGAAGAAAAGAAACAAAAAGGGAAAUACGGAUAUAGGUGGAGGCAAUGGCAGCAAGCUCCUGGAUAUCUUUCCUAGCCUAGGAAACAACAAGGACAAGAAAAGGAGGAACGGAAAUAGAAACGUGAAGAAUAAGAAAGGAAAGAAAAGGAAGAAGGAAAAGAGAAAAGAGGAAACCGAGGAAGCCCUGAGCAAAGAUGAAGGGGUGAAGAUAAAGGUAAAAAGAAGUAUGGGAAGGUUGGUAAGAAAGAGAAGAAAAAGAAAAUCAGAAAGAAUAAGAGGGAAAAGGACAAGAAAAAGAAGAAAAAGAAGACAGGAAUUAGUGAUAAGAAAAGGAAGAAAAGGAAAAAGAAAAAUAUGAAGAGUAAGGGAAAGCAGAAAGCAAAACAGAAGAGAGGAAAGAAAGUCAAGAAGAAAAGAAAGAAAAGUAACAGAAAUAAGAAGAAACGGAAGAAAGGGCAAAGAAAGAACAAGAAAAUCAAAAGGAAAAAGAAGGGAAAGAAAGGGAGAAGAAAGCACAACAAAAACGAGACAAAUCUAGACAAGAACAAUAAUAAAGGUAAGAAAAAGAGAAAGAACUCAAAGAAGGGAAAAAAAUAUGAAAGAGAUCAAAGCGGGAGGGAGAAAAUCCAUGAAGGGAAAAACAUCAAAAAAGAAGAAGAAGGAGAAUAAGAAGGAGAAGAAGAACAGAAAAUGCAAAACCAACAGCAUAUGUAAGAAAUAGGCGGAAAAUGUAAGCUGGCUUCGUCCUGCAAAACCCAGCCGAUCUACGGACUCUGCAAGAAGGCUUCCUGCCUGUGCUGUCUCGCUGCUGACAAGCCGAAAGAACCAUCUUGUGCCCAGAGGACAAAGAAGAAAUGCACGAAAUACAAAGGCGUCUGCAAGGAUUCCUGUGCAGCAGAUGAAAGAGUCAUUGCCAAUGGCUGCAAGAAGAUGUGCAAGUGCUGCGCUAAAGCUUGCAAGAUAAAGCCAGCCUGCAUCAGCAAAGGAGGAUUUUGUGUCAAUAGCAAGACGGAAUGUACAGAGGGAAAGGUCGACAAAAAAUCUUGCAAAGGAGAAAAUUGUUUCUGCUGCUUUUCAGGCUCAGGCUCAAAAUGCUCAACUAAAGCCAAGAAAAAAUGUCUGAAGUACAACGGUUCUUGCCAGACGACUUGCAAAUCCACUGACAGAGUUAUUGCCAAAGGCUGCAAAGGGAAAUCAUGCGUGUGUUGUGCAAAGCC